UACGAAGGGGGGCUAGCGUUGUUCGGAUUUACUGGGCGUAAAGCGCACGUAGGCGGAUUGUUAAGUCAGGGGUGAAAUCCCGGAGCUCAACUCCGGAACUGCCUUUGAUACUGGCAAUCUUGAGGCUGGAAGAGGUUAGUGGAAUUCCCAGUGUAGAGGUGAAAUUCGUAGAUAUUGGGAAGAACACCAGUGGCGAAGGCGGCUAACUGGCCAGAUCUGACGCUGAGGUGCGAAAGCGUGGGGAGCAAACAGGG
rnacentral:rRNA from 1 species